UACGGGGGGGGCAAGCGUUGUUCGGAAUUACUGGGCGUAAAGGGCGCGUAGGCGGACAGUUUAGUCAGAGGUGAAAGCCCAGGGCUCAACCCUGGAAUUGCCUUUGAUACUGGCUGUCUUGAGUUCGGGAGAGGUGAGUGGAAUGCCGAGUGUAGAGGUGAAAUUCGUAGAUAUUCGGCGGAAAACCAGUGGCGAAGGCGACUAACUGGCCGGAUACUGACGCUGAGGCGCGAAAGCGUGGGAGCAAACAGG
rnacentral:rRNA from 1 species